ACAGAAGCAUUGUCACUUGUCUUCAGGCAUCUUCUCUCCCAUGGCAGCCCAUAGGAAGAAGAAAAAAGAGAAGAAAAUGACACUGAUAAUCCACAAAGAGGACUAAUACAAAUGGUCUUGCUCUUUCACCCAGGCUGGAGUGCAGUGAUGCCGCCAUUACAGCUCACUGCAGCCUUGACCUCGUGGGCUCAAUCAACUCUCUUGCCUCAGCCGCCAGAGCAGCUGGGACUAUAGGCAUGUGCCACCAUGCCUGGCUAAUUUUUUCAACAUUUUGUAGAGAUGUUGCCCAGGCUGGUCUUGAACUAGCAGGCUCAAACAAUCCUCCCACCUCAGCCUCCCACAUUUUAUUAAUGAGUUUUCAGUUACUUUAAAAAAAUAAUAGAAUCUGUCAGGCAUAUUUGUUAAGUAUUUGUUCUGUGCUUGAUCCACAAGUAUUUACUGGGCACCUGAUGUGUACCAGGCGCUAUGCUGCUCACUGCAGAAGACACCAAAACGGCCAUGGUCAGCCCCCAGCUGGAGGGGCCUGGGGAGGGGAGCACUGCCUGUGGGGCAGCUUCUGCAUACCCUCCUGCACUAGGCCACUUACAAAAGUUAUUCUGGAAAUUUGGUGUUGUCGUUCACACUUUGCACUUGAGGAGUGCGUGCCUCAGAUAGGUCACAGAACCAUCUCAGCAUCACCUGGGCAUGUAUUAGGAAUGCAGAAUCUCAGGCCCCCCC
rnacentral:lncRNA from 1 species